ACCAUUAGGGUACAGAAGUCAAGUUCAUUACAUAGAAGGUCAAGGACAAGAUCCCAGAAUAGCAAAGUCAUGAAUUAGGGUUUCAACCCAUAUGAUGUGUAAUACCAUAAUCUUCGAUCUGAAACCCUGAUUUUAUCAACCACAAAUCCUGAAUCCAUGAUACCUAUUAGUAGAUGUUAGUCAUGAAUGAAUGAUGAAUAUGAAUGAGACAUGGAUGAGGGUAGAUGGAUCAUGUUAUAGGUCAGAUGAAAAAUAAAAAUAAAAAAGGGCAAUAUUUGAGGAAUGACAUGAUGAAGACUUGUCAAUCAUUUGAUUCAAAUUGCACCAAAGUCUAUGAACAAAGGCGAAUACCUUGAGCUUCUGGGUCAUUCAUCUCGUACCCAAGGAUAUCCUAGAUAAG
rnacentral:lncRNA from 1 species